UACGAACUGCGCAAACGUUAUUCGGAAUCACUGGGCUUACAGGGUGCGUAGGCGGCCGAUCAGGUCCGAUGUGAAAUCCCACAGCUCAACUGUGGAAUGGCAUUGGAAACCGACCGGCUUGAGUGGGCUAGAGGUGCACGGAACUUCCGGUGGAGCGGUGAAAUGUGUUGAGAUCGGAAGGAACACCAGAGGCGAAAGCGGUGCACUGGAGCUUGUCUGACGCUGAGGCACGAAAGCCAGGGGAGCGAACGGG
rnacentral:rRNA from 1 species